GAUCGACUGGCCAAGUGGUUAAGGCGUCUGUCUUACACACAGAAGGUCGCAGGUUCGAUCCCUGCGUCGAUCA
rnacentral:tRNA from 8 species